rnacentral:rRNA from 1 species
UACGUAGGUGGCAAGCGUUAUCCGGAAUUAUUGGGCGUAAAGCGCGCGCAGGCGGUUUCUUAAGUCUGAUGUGAAAGCCCACGGCUCAACCGUGGAGGGUCAUUGGAAACUGGGGAACUUGAGUGCAGAAGAGAAAAGCGGAAUUCCACGUGGUAGCGGUGAAAUGCGUAGAGAUGUGGAGGAACACCAGUGGCGAAGGCGGCUUUUUGGUCUGUAACUGACGCUGAGGCGCGGAAAGCGUGGGGAGCAAACUAGG